rnacentral:rRNA from 1 species
AGUGAACGCUGGCGGUAGGCCUAACACAUGCAAGUCGAACGGCAGCACAGUAAGAGCUUGCUCUUACGGGUGGCGAGUGGCGGACGGGUGAGGAAUACAUCGGAAUCUACUUUUUCGUGGGGAAUAACGUAGGGAAACUUACGCUAAUACCGCAUACGACCUACGGGUGAAAGCAGGGGAUCUUCGGACCUUGCGCGAUUGAAUGAGCCGAUGUCGGAUUAGCUAGUUGGCGGGGUAAAGGCCCACCAAGGCGACGAUCCGUAGCUGGUCUGAGAGGAUGAUCAGCCACACUGGAACUGAGACACGGUCCAGACUCCUAUGGGAGGCAGCAGUGGGGAAUAUUGGACAAUGGGCGCAAGCCUGAUCCAGCCAUACCGCGUGGGUGAAGAGGGCCUUCGGGUUGUAAAGCCCUUUUGUUGGGAAAGAAAAGCAGCAGGUUAAUACCCCGCUGUUCCGACGGUACCCAAAGAAUAAGCACCGGCUAACUUCGUG